rnacentral:rRNA from 1 species
UACGGAGGGGGCUAGCGUUGUUCGGAAUUACUGGGCGUAAAGCGCGCGUAGGCGGACCUGCAAGUCGGGGGUGAAAGCCCGAGGCUCAACCUCGGAACUGCCUUCGAUACUGCGGGUCUCGAGUCCGGGAGAGGUGAGUGGAAUUCCUAGUGUAGAGGUGAAAUUCGUAGAUAUUCGCAAGAACACCAGUGGCGAAGGCGGCUCACUGGCCCGAUACUGACGCUGAGGUGCGAAAGCGUGGGGAGCAAACAGG